AGGUCAAGCAAUAAGGGCACAGGGCGGAUGCCUUGGCACUAAGAGCCGAUGAAAGACGUGAUAAGCUGCGA
rnacentral:rRNA from 1 species